rnacentral:rRNA from 1 species
UGGGGAAUAUUGGACAAUGGGGGCAACCCUGAUCCAGCAAUGCCGCGUGAGUGAAGAAGGCCUUCGGGUUGUAAAGCUCUUUUAUUAGGGAAGAUAAUGACGGUACCUAAUGAAUAAGCUCCGGCUAACUUCGUGCCAGCAGCCGCGGUAAUACGAAGGGAGCUAGCGUUGUUCGGAAUUACUGGGCGUAAAGGGCGCGUAGGCGGCUCUGUAAGUCAGAUGUGAAAGCCCCGGGCUUAACCUGGGAACUGCAUUUGAUACUGCAGAGCUAGAGAAUGUGAGAGGUAAGUGGAAUUAUGAGUGUAGAGGUGAAAUUCGUAGAUAUUCAUAAGAACAUCAGUGGCGAAGGCGGCUUACUGGCACAUUACUGACGCUAAGGCGCGAAAGCGUGGGGAGCAAA